CAGUGGUAUGACUUUAUUUGAAAAUGAAUUUUUUAUUCUUUCUCCAUCUGAUAUUGCCAUAGUUUUUCUGUGUUAUAUAUCAUAUUGGGUUGAAAGUUUCAACCAAGCGUUGUUGAAUGUAGUGUGUAUGCAAACAUGAAAAUGUCACAUCACAUAUAACCACUGCUUUGAAGUUUCUGCAAAGAACUUCCUCCAGCAACAUGCAUUCCAGCCACUUCCUCCAGUUCGCUCUGCUGCACUAGGGAGUUCCCAGUGCAGCUAAUCCCAUAGUGCAAGCACAGACUGAUCAGCUGGUGGUUGGGUCCUCAAAGUGCCUACAGAUCCCCGUUUGACCUGAGAACGACUUUAUAUCAUGUCAUGGGUAUCAGGUGAUGCCGCAGAUAUUAUUAUAUAUAGAGCAUAUUUAAUUAGGCCUAUGAACGGAAGUUUUCACAGUCCUGGUUUAGGCCAUGAGUUCUUAGUGAAAUUUAGAAAAUAAUUUAGACAGAAUGUUGAGGUGGUUCACAUGUCAUGUGUCUGGGGUGGCUCAAAACUCCAAGAUUGCCGUGACGACCAUAGGGCUGUCAUAGCAUAUUGCUGGCUCAACACAUGUGGCAGGCCACACUUUGGAUCUUGUUUUCUCAACUGCACAGGAAGAAAUUGAUCUGAAAGUUUGGAAUGUUGACACUAGCUCCUUAUCAUGGUCCAAUCGCUUCCUGUUGAAAUUUAGGCUUUCAGCACCUUUCCUCCUAUGCAGAGAUAGGGGGACCUGUUAAGAUGGUCUGUCCUCAGAUGCUAAUGGAUCCUGUGUGUUUUCGGACGGCUCUUGGUUGCCCUGUAUGUUGAUGACCUCUGUUGGGAGACAGAGAAAAUUUGUCCUUGUUAAUUCUUCACCUAUCAGUGGCUUUUUAUACCAUCGACCAUGGUAUCCUUCUGGAGCAAAUGUCUGAGUUAGAGGUGGGUGGCACCGCUUUGCAUUGGUUCAGGUCCUACUUGGAUGAUCGUUUCCAAAGGGUGAUGGUUGGGGCCGGCUCUUUGGCCCUUCAAUGUGGGGUUCCUCAGGGUUUUAUUUAAUCCCCUAUGCUAUUUAACACCAACAUGAAACAGCUGAGUGGGAUUAUCUGGAAUUUUGGAGCACGCUGUUAGCAAUAUACUGAUGACACAUAGCUCUGCUUCUUCUUUAUACUUGCAGGUGCAGCAGUGGAUGUGCUGGACCAUUGUCUUUCCCCAGUAAAAGACUGGAUGGGAGCCAACAACGGAAGCUCAAUCAAGAGAAGACUGAGGCACUGUUAGUGGGUGGUUUCCUAGACCAGAUGGAUGGGAGGUGACCUGCUCUUAUGGGGUUACACUCCCUCUGAAGGAGCAGGUACAUCACUUGGGGGUACUUCUAGAUGCUUUGCUGUUGCUUGAGGCUUAGGUCACCUCAGUUGCGCGAAAUGCCUUCCAUCAGUUUCAGCUGGUGGCCGAACUGUGCCCCUAACUGGACAGGGAUAGCCCAGCUUCUAUCAUCUAUGCUGUGGUAACUUCUAGCAAUGCAUUAUACAUGUAGCAGCUUCUGAUGAUGGUUCAGAAAAUUCAGCUAGUGUAUAAUUCCUCUUCUAGGUUGCUCACCAGGGCAUGACAGUUUGAACAUAUUACACUGAUCCUGGCCUAACUGCACUGGCUUCCAAAUGGUUUCCUGGCCCAGUUCAAAGUGCUGGUCUUGUCCUAUAAAGUCUUAAACUGUUCAUGACUGCAAUACCUCAAAGACUAUGUAUCCCCAUGUGACCCAACCCAGAACCUGUAAUCCUCAUUGGAGGCCCUUUGUGUGCCUCCUCAAUGAGAGGUCAGGAGGAUGGCAACGGGAGAACAGGCCUCUAUUGCAGUAACUCCCCAUUUGUGGAAUGCUCUCCCCAGGGAGGAUCGCCUAGCACCUUCGUUAUACAUCUUUAAGUGUCAGGUGAAAAUGUUCCUAUUCAAUCAGGCCUUCAGCUGAUUAACAUUCUAUGUCCUCUUAAAUGUUUUUGUGGGAGGUGGGGUCAUGGGUUUGUCUUGUUCUUAUUUUUAUUUUUAUUUUGUAUUUUUAUGCUGUCAACCACCCUGAGAUCUUGGAUAAAGGGAGGUAAAUAAAUAAGUAACUUAAAUAUUUAAUCAUGAUUGAUGAGGAAAACACAACAAUAUUAAAACUCCACAAUAUAUGCAGCAUAAAAACUUCCAAGGGAGUGAAACUGUUAAAGGGUUUGCAAAAAAUAAUAGGCAUUUUGCUUGAUGUCAAAAAGGCCACAUCCGCACCAUAAAUUUUAAGCACCAUUAUACCACUCAGUGUGGGGAACAGUGAUCUCGUAAGAAUUCUCAGCACCCUUAACAAUCUAUGGUUCCCAGGAUAUUUUGUGGAAAGUCAUUUCUGCUUAAAGUGGUAAAAUGCUGCUUUAAAUGUAUGGUGCAGAUGUAGCAAAAGAUAGCAAAGUGAGCAAGAACUCCACAGCUGGGGCACUACCACCAAUAAGGCCCUCUUGUUCUGUUACAUUUAAUCUGGUGGGGACUUCCAGAGGAGGCUCCUCAGAGCUCUUAAUGUAUGACACAAGGCUGAUAAUGGAGGCAGGUGUUUCCCUGAUCUAAGCUGUCAACCUGGUUAGCUCAGUUGGUUAGAGCAUGGUGCUGAUAAUGCCAAGGUGGCAGGUUCAAUCCCCCUUUGGGGCAGCUGCAUUUUCCUGCAUUGCAGGGGGGUUGGACUAGAUGAUAAUCCUCAGGAUUCCUUCCAACUCUACAAUUCUAUGUUUGUGCUCCCUGAGGAAAAAAAUGUGUGGAAGAGAUGGGGAGAAAGAAAAAAGGGAUAAGAAGUAUAUGGCUAGCCCACUGUUAGCUCUGGCCCCACUGUCUUUUGGAUUGGGGCCUGCCCAUUGUUAAUUGCAGCCCCACCCACUCACUCUAAUACAGCCUCCGUGAUGUUUCCUAUCUUAAAGCCAUCCAAAGUGGCCAUCAGUGCUUCCUAUAGGAGUGAGUUUCAUAGUUGAACUAUGCACUGUGUGAAUAAGUACUCCGCUCACCCCCAAUCCUAAAUCUUCCAAAAUUCAGCUUCAGUUGCUUUCCUAGUGAUCUCUAGAUGGGAAUUUGCAUUUUUUCACAGCUGCCACAUCCUGGGUCAACACCUUCAUUGAGCUAUCCACUGGAACUCCAAGGUCUCAUUCCUGGUCAUUUCCUGCCAGUUCAGGCUCAGUGAGUGUAUAUGUGAAAUAAGGAUGGUGAUUCUGUCACUAGGGGGCAGCCUCACCCUAUAGCCACUUCUGCAACAUGAUCUACAGUAUAAAGCUGAGAUGUUAGGAGACUUCACACCUUCAAUUGACCAUUAUAUGGCCUUUAUGCCCCUAAGUGAAGCUGAGUGAUGGACUUUCAUGUGGCUGGAAUUGGGUGGAUCUGUUGUAAUCCAAGGCUCCACUUUGCAUUUAAAGGACUGACUUGCCCAACUAUGGUCAUGCCUUUCACAGCCCUCAUUAAUGCAUUAUGACGUAGUAGAACAGGAAGCCCACAGGUCCAAAACCUGUUUCCUGUUAUUCAUUCUUCAUCUUUUGCCUCCAGCUGGAACCUAAUUUCCUGCAACCACUGGAAGCUGCAGAUGCAAACAGGGCCAUGGAAAGGCUUUGAUACGCAAUAAUGCCCGGAAAAGGGAAUCAAGGCCCAGAACAGGUAGAAACUAGAGUGCAAAGAGCACUCCACUAAUCAAUGCACUAGCAGAAAUGUGAGAAACGGGGAAUGAAUAAGAGGCUGGGCUUUUCUAGAUAACCAUUUUAUUGUGUAAUAAAUGUACAAUUGUUACAUAGGAUCUAAACACCCCUCGACCACUAACAGUACAUUUGUUGCAGAGAAAUGAAUUGUCCUAGUACUCAUACAGCAAUAUUUUAUUAUUUGCUAGUAAAAAGUCAGCAUUCCCCCAGCAACAUGCAUCUCCUUUAUUAAGAAAAAUGUAUCAUAGAAUUGUCAGAAUCAGACCUUGAGUGUGGUGAGACCUACACUUUGGAAUGCCCUCCAAUUAUAUAUUAGAUAAAUGCCAUCUCUAUCGACUUUUAGGCACUUGUUGAAGACUUUCCUCUUUUGAUAAACCUUCCAAAUGGAGAUUGUGAUCCCAAUUGGUAUCUGCAAUGCACGAAAGCUGUAGGAGCAUGUGGCCUGGGCUGGAUGUCUCUACUUGGUCAGCCAGCCGAUGGCCUUUCCCAUCUGCACUGUCUGUGACACUUUGGAAGAAAAGAACAAGCUGAGAUAAGUAAGCUUUGCUGGCAUCAGGGCCCUGUUAUGAGGCUUUCCCUGUUAGCCUCCAUUUCAUGUUCAGCAGUGAACCAAAGAUGGCUUUGGCUCAAGCAAAGGACUGUGGGUAAUGACCUUCCCACCUUGACCAUAUGCACAGUCUUGUAGUUUGAUUUCUCUAUGUUUUCCUUUCUUACCAAUGAGGUCAUGAGUAUCUGGAAGGUUCCUUGAUUGACUCACCAGGAAGCUAGGUUGCCAAAUGCAGAUUAUUUGCAUCUAAAAGUUCCUUCAUGGAGCUAUGGAAACAAGCUUGUGCACCAGCCAUAAAUUCUAUAGAAAUGCAGAGGCAUACCAGAUAGAACAAUAGGAUCUGCAGGCAAGGUAGCAUAACUCACCAGGAAGCCACUCCUCCUGACAGGUUAAAUCUCCAAGAUAAACCUUUUGGAUAAGUGACCCUUGUUUGUGUGUCCCAAUCUAAGUCUUACGAAAAAUGUCCAUAUUACAUUACAUGCCCCACCCCAGCUACGCCCCUGUCUGGAAGGGUCCAGAUCACACACAGGACAGGCUAAAUGAUCUUUUUGGGCCAGUGUAUUUUUGAGACCACGUAGGCGGCAAUUUCACAAAGGGUCCCCCAAUACACAUGUCCAUCAGCCACCAUGUUAACAGCCCCAGCACAGGAGGAUGGAGACAGCUGGGGAAGUGAUGGAUUGCUAUCUCCACCACCCACCUUCUUAAUUAGAGCCAGUUGAGGGAGUAGCCCCGGCUGUCAGUUUCCUCCUCCUCAGUGUUAGUAUUGCACUUGUAGAGUGCCAAUCGAGAUAAUAUAUUUUUUAAAGGAAUGGCCAUGAGCAUUUGUCGUCUCAUCACUGAGAUAGGACAACCAAUCCCCACCCAUUUGAAUUUAGAGCCAAGAGAGAACAGGUUAAUGCAACGUGGCACAUGCAUUUCUUAUUUACACUUUUGCUUGCAGAAGAACAUUGUAAGGUGUGGAAGCUUGCCACUUUUUACACCCCAAAGAUAAACAUGUUUACUCAGACAUCUCACUGUUUCCUGCCUAUUAAACAGAGUUUAAUUGCAGCCUUAAUUAUUGUUGAUCCAAUAAUCCUUUUACUUGUAACCUUCGUUUGAGCAAGUUGUCACACCCUGUCCUAGUGGCAUUUAAAGAAUAGAUGUUGCAGAACAGAUAUAUUUAUUAUAUUUGAGUUUCCUUCACGUUGGCAUAUUGAGAUUUGCCAGGGAUCAAACCCAGGACCUUGGACAUGCAAGGCACAUGCUCUGCUAUUGAGCUACUUCUUCAAAUGCUGAUCCUUUUAAAUAUUAACUUUCCGAAUGCUGAAGCCAGGGCAGUGAAUCAAUAAAGGAAGUGGGUUUUAAUGUGCAAAUAAUCUCAUCUCUAAUGUAAAUGAAUAAAACCUGUGGUUUUAAAACAAAUAAA